rnacentral:rRNA from 1 species
GCUUGCUCCACCGGAAAAAGAAGAGUGGCGAACGGGUGAGUAACACGUGGGUAACCUGCCCAUCAGAAGGGGAUAACACUUGGAAACAGGUGCUAAUACCGUAUAACAAUCGAAACCGCAUGGUUUUGAUUUGAAAGGCGCUUUCGGGUGUCGCUGAUGGAUGGACCCGCGGUGCAUUAGCUAGUUGGUGAGGUAACGGCUCACCAAGGCCACGAUGCAUAGCCGACCUGAGAGGGUGAUCGGCCACAUUGGGACUGAGACACGGCCCAAACUCCUACGGGAGGCAGCAGUAGGGAAUCUUCGGCAAUGGACGAAAGUCUGACCGAGCAACGCCGCGUGAGUGAAGAAGGUUUUCGGAUCGUAAAACUCUGUUGUUAGAGAAGAACAAGGAUGAGAGUAACUGUUCAUCCCUUGACGGUAUCUAACCAGAAAGCCACGGCUAACUACGUGCCCAGCAGCCGCGGUAAUACGUAGGUGGCAAGCGUUGUCCGGAUUUAUUGGGCGUAAAGCGAGCGCAGGCGGUUUCUUAAGUCUGAUGUGAAAGCCCCCGGCUCAACCGGGGAGGGUCAUUGGAAACUGGGAGACUUGAGUGCAGAAGAGGAGAGUGGAAUUCCAUGUGUAGCGGUGAAAUGCGUAGAUAUAUGGAGGAACACCAGUGGCGAAGGCGGCUCUCUGGUCUGUAACUGACGCUGAGGCUCGAAAGCGUGGGGAGCAAACAGGAUUAGAUACCCUGGUAGUCCACGCCGUAAACGAUGAGUGCUAAGUGUUGGAGGGUUUCCGCCCUUCAGUGCUGCAGCUAACGCAUUAAGCACUCCGCCUGGGGAGUACGACCGCAAGGUUGAAACUCAAAGGAAUUGACGGGGGCCCGCACAAGCGGUGGAGCAUGUGGUUUAAUUCGAAGCAACGCGAAGAACCUUACCAGGUCUUGACAUCCUUUGACCACUCUAGAGAUAGAGCUUCCCCUUCGGGGGCAAAGUGACAGGUGGUGCAUGGUUGUCGUCAGCUCGUGUCGUGAGAUGUUGGGUUAAGUCCCGCAACGAGCGCAACCCUUAUUGUUAGUUGCCAUCAUUCAGUUGGGCACUCUAGCAAGACUGCCGGUGACAAACCGGAGGAAGGUGGGGAUGACGUCAAAUCAUCAUGCCCCUUAUGACCUGGGCUACACACGUGCUACAAUGGGAAGUACAACGAGUCGCGAAGUCGCGAGGCUAAGCUAAUCUCUUAAAGCUUCUCUCAGUUCGGAUUGUAGGCUGCAACUCGCCUACAUGAAGCCGGAAUCGCUAGUAAUCGCGGAUCAGCACGCCGCGGUGAAUACGUUCCCGGGCCUUGUACACACCGCCCGUCACACCACGAGAGUUUGUAACACCCGAAGUCGGUGAGGUAACCU